rnacentral:rRNA from 1 species
AUUGAACGCUGGCGGCAUGCUUUACACAUGCAAGUCGAACGGUAACAGCACUUCGGUGGCUGACGAGUGGCGAACGGGUGAGUAAUACAUCGGAACGUGCCUAGUAGUGGGGGAUAACUACUCGAAAGAGUAGCUAAUACCGCAUGAGAUCUAAGGAUGAAAGCAGGGGACCUGCGGGCCUUGCGUUACUAGAGCGGCUGAUGGCAGAUGAGGUAGUUGGUGGGAUAAAAGCUUACCAAGCCGAUGAUCUGUAGCUGGUCUGAGAGGACGACCAGCCACACUGGGACUGAGACACGGCCCAGACUCCUACGGGAGGCAGCAGUGGGGAAUUUUGGACAAUGGGCGCAAGCCUUAUCCAGCGAUGCCGCGUGCAGGAUGAAGGCCUUCGGGUUGUAAACUGCUUUUGUACGGAACGAAAAGCCCUCUUCUAAUACAGGAGGGUCAUGACGGUACCGUAAGAAUAAGCACCGGCUAACUACGUG